rnacentral:lncRNA from 1 species
AUGAGCACCGUCGUGGGAGAGAGAUAGGAGCCGCCGCGCAUGGGCUUCAGUUCACCUUCAACCAGAUCGCCGGAGUUGUGCCCUAGGGCUUCUUCGGGCUAGAGGGUGAGUGGACGGGGUCGCGUCGUGUGGGAUUCAUCACCAGCGCCACCUCAAUUGCUCACGUGAGAAGUCCCUGCAUCGCAAAUCCGCUACCUACCGCAGGCCGACUUCACCACAAUGCCUUCGAUGGUGGGAUAUCCCUAACCCUGUUUUGUUUGACAUCCGCAUUCAGUUGGCCUUGCCGGUGUUGGUGAUAGUGUCUAGGGUCUCAGGCAGCCGCUCACCGGCGAGAACGCCGCGCGGUGGCAGGGCGCCCUGGCAUACGGAGGAAGGAGAACGGCACUGGACCACGGGAUAAGAAAUGGAUGGCUAGGGUUAAAUUUGUUGCUUACCCUUUUGCCCAUUGAACUCGAGUCAUGGAUCGUCCAUCCGAUGGCUAGGGUGGAUCAUUGUCGUGGGUAGCUUUUGGCCAUAGAUCCUUAAUCGUGCGGUCGAUAUUGUGUACCGAUUCAGAAUAAACACAGAUCUAAUCCAGGCCUUUGGUUCCUGAUCGAACGGCUGAGGGAUCUUAAUACCCCUUCGGCCGAGACUAAUUGCAUAAGAUCCCUCGGGUUCCAUUGAAAUCAAC